rnacentral:misc_RNA from 1 species
AACGCACGAGACCUGCGGACCUGCGGAAGGAUCAUUAGUGAAUUGCUCUCUGAGCGUUAACUACAUCCAUCUACACCUGUGAACUGUUGAUUGACUUCGGUCAGUUACUUUUACAAACAUUGUGUAAUGAACGUCAUGUUAUUAUAACAAAAAUAACUUUCAACAACGGAUCUCU